rnacentral:rRNA from 1 species
UAGCUACAGGCUUAACACAUGCAAGUCGAGGGGCAGCAUGGUCUUAGCUUGCUAAGGCCGAUGGCGACCGGCGCACGGGUGAGUAACACGUAUCCAACCUGCCGUCUACUCUUGGACAGCCUUCUGAAAGGAAGAUUAAUACAAGAUGGCAUCAUGAGUCCGCAUGUUCACAUGAUUAAAGGUAUUCCGGUAGACGAUGGGGAUGCGUUCCAUUAGAUAGUAGGCGGGGUAACGGCCCACCUAGUCUUCGAUGGAUAGGGGUUCUGAGAGGAAGGUCCCCCACAUUGGAACUGAGACACGGUCCAAACUCCUACGGGAGGCAGCAGUGAGGAAUAUUGGUCAAUGGGCGAGAGCCUGAACCAGCCAAGUAGCGUGAAGGAUGACUGCCCUAUGGGUUGUAAACUUCUUUUAUAAAGGAAUAAAGUCGGGUAUGGAUACCCGUUUGCAUGUACUUUAUGAAUAAGGAUCGGCUAACUCCGUGCCAGCAGCCGCGGUAAUACGGAGGAUCCGAGCGUUAUCCGGAUUUAUUGGGUUUAAAGGGAGCGUAGAUGGAUGUUUAAGUCAGUUGUGAAAGUUUGCGGCUCAACCGUAAAAUUGCAGUUGAUACUGGAUAUCUUGAGUGCAGUUGAGGCAGGCGGAAUUCGUGGUGUAGCGGUGAAAUGCUUAGAUAUCACGAAGAACUCCGAUUGCGAAGGCAGCCUGCUAAGCUGCAACUGACAUUGAGGCUCGAAAGUGUGGGUAUCAAACAGGAUUAGAUACCCUGGUAGUCCACACGGUAAACGAUGAAUACUCGCUGUUUGCGAUAUACUGCAAGCGGCCAAGCGAAAGCGUUAAGUAUUCCACCUGGGGAGUACGCCGGCAACGGUGAAACUCAAAGGAAUUGACGGGGGCCCGCACAAGCGGAGGAACAUGUGGUUUAAUUCGAUGAUACGCGAGGAACCUUACCCGGGCUUAAAUUGCAGAUGAAUUACGGUGAAAGCCGUAAGCCGCAAGGCAUCUGUGAAGGUGCUGCAUGGUUGUCGUCAGCUCGUGCCGUGAGGUGUCGGCUUAAGUGCCAUAACGAGCGCAACCCUUGUUGUCAGUUACUAACAGGUUCCGCUGAGGACUCUGACAAGACUGCCAUCGUAAGAUGUGAGGAAGGUGGGGAUGACGUCAAAUCAGCACGGCCCUUACGUCCGGGGCUACACACGUGUUACAAUGGGGGGUACAGAGGGCCGCUACCACGCGAGUGGAUGCCAAUCCCCAAAACCUCUCUCAGUUCGGACUGGAGUCUGCAACCCGACUCCACGAAGCUGGAUUCGCUAGUAAUCGCGCAUCAGCCUCGGCGCGGUGAAUACGUUCCCGGGCCUUGUACACACCGCCCGUCAAGCCAUGGGAGCCGGGGGUACCUGAAGUGCGUAACCGCGAGGAGCGCCCUAGGGUAAAACUGGUGACUGGGGCUAA